rnacentral:rRNA from 1 species
AUGGAGACCGUGUCCUCGGAGACGGCGGAGGACUGGCGCCGCGCGCUCUCCUGCGUGGUGCCCGCCGUCGUCGUCCUCCACGCCACGGCGCCGCGCGCCUUCGACACCGGGGUCGCGGGAAGCAGCCAUGCCACGGGCUUCGUCGUCGACAAGUCCCGCGGCAUCAUCCUCACCAACCGCCACGUCGUCGGGCCUGGGCCUGUGGUCGCGGAGGCAAUCUUUGUGAACAGGGAGGAGAUACCCGUGUACGCCAUCUACAGAGAUCCUAAGCUGGUUCUUCUGCAAGAGCUCGUCCGGCUCUGCAAGCGCCCGUCUUUUUACCUUUCUUCUCCACGGUGGCUGCUCCUCCGACGUGGACCUGCGGAGCAGCGGUCCACGCUGGAGCGUUGGCCAUGCCCUGAUCCAGCUGCCAUAAAGUACCUCAAGUACGAGGAGAUCCCUGUAACACCUGAAGCAGCAUCUAUGGGGCUGGAAAUUCGGGUUGUCGGUAAUGACAGCGGCGAAAAGGUUUCAAUCUUGCCGGGAACAUUGGCUCGACUUGACAGAGAAGCACCGAACUACACAAAGGAUGGUUACAACGAUUUCAAUACAUUCUACAUACAGGCUGCAUCUGGUACUAAAGGUGGCUCUAGUGGUUCCCCUGUUGUUGAUUGCCAAGGAAGAGUUGUUGCACUGAAUGCAGGAGGCACUACUUCCAGUGCUCCGGCCUUCUACCUUUCAUUAGACCGUAGAUCGUUACUUCGUGUCUUCAUUAGAGAUUACGAGGAUAUCAUUGAAGAUUUCAUUAGAGAUUACGAGGAUAUCACUGAAGUUUUUCAAAUAAAUAGCAACUGGGAAUUGAAUAGCAGCAAGCCAGAAUCUGCUUAUAUUCCUCGUGGUACACUUCAGGUGUGCAUUCUGUCUGAUGAUCCUUUUGUUCUGUUAGAUGCUACCGUUUUAGUUUUCUAUUUUGGAGAGCUAAUUACUGAAGGACAGGCGGUACGACUUGUUUCUCCAGCAGGGGAGACUGGAAUGCUGGUUGUUGAUUCUUUGGUGCCAGAUGGACCUGCAGACAAACAUCUGGAACCUGGUGACGUGCUGAUUCGCAUGAACGGGGAGAUUGUAACACAAUUUCUCACUAUGGAGUCAUUAAUUGAUGAGAGCGUUGGCAGGGAGAUAAAUUUGCAGAUCGAAAGAGGUGGAACCCCUUUAACAGUAAAGCUGAAGGUAGGGGAUUUGCACUCCAUAACUCCAAAUCAUUUCCUGGAAGUUAGUGGUGCUGUCAUCCAUCCACUUUCAUACCAGCAGGCUAGACACUUCGGGUUCAAAUGUGGUCUUGUAUAUGUUGCUGAACCUGGGUCAAACCCUAUUGGGGAUGUGAUUUCCCUGCUCCAGAUUGAAGUGGUUGGCGUUGGGGGCCGCCGUGAUGCUGGAUGGUGCAGGUCAGAGCUCCAGUGCGUGUCCGUGGAGCAGAUCCACCAUGGGUGCAGGGGAAUGGAAAUGCUACUGAGAAGAAGAAGAGAGCUUGGUCUGGCUAUUUGGAAGCAGAGUGAAGAGUGUGCUACGGUGAAACCUUAG